UACGGAGGGAGCUAGCGUUGUUCGGAAUUACUGGGCGUAAAGCGCGCGUAGGCGGCUUUGUAAGUUAGAGGUGAAAGCCCGGGGCUCAACCCCGGAAUUGCCUUUAAGACUGCAUCGCUAGAAUCCAGGAGAGGUGAGUGGAAUUCCUGGUGUAGCGGUGAAAUGCGCAGAUAUCAGGAGGAACACCAGUGGCGAAGGCGGUGCUCUGGGCCGGAACUGACGCUGAGGAGCGAAAGCGUGGGGAGCAAACAGG
rnacentral:rRNA from 1 species